AUUGAACGCUGGCGGCGUGCUUAACACAUGCAAGUCGAACGGAAAGGCCCUGCUUUUGUGGGGUGCUCGAGUGGCGAACGGGUGAGUAACACGUGAGUAACCUGCCCUUGACUUUGGGAUAACUUCAGGAAACUGGGGCUAAUACCGGAUAGGAGCUCCUGCUGCAUGGUGGGGGUUGGAAAGUUUCGGCGGUUGGGGAUGGACUCGCGGCUUAUCAGCUUGUUGGGGGGGUAGUGGCUUACCAAGGCUUUGACGGGUAGCCGGCCUGAGAGGGUGACCGGCCACAUUGGGACUGAGAUACGGCCCAGACUCCUACGGGAGGCAGCAGUGGGGAAUAUUGCACAAUGGGCGGAAGCUUGAUGCAGCAACGCCGCGUGCGGGAUGACGGCCUUCGGGUUGUAAACCGCUUUCGCCUGUGACGAAGCGUGAGUGACGGUAAUGGGUAAAGAAGCACCGGCUAACUACGUGCCAGCCGCCGCCGUAA
rnacentral:rRNA from 1 species